UACGUAGGGUGCGAGCGUUAAUCGGGAUUACUGGGCGUAAAGCGUGCGCAGGCGGUUGUGUAAGACAGAUGUGAAAUCCCCGGGCUCAACCUGGGAACUGCGUUUGUGACUGUAUGACUAGAGUACGGUAGAGAGGGGUGGAAUUCCUGGUGUAGCAGUGAAAUGCGUAGAUAUCAGGAGGAACAUCGAUGGCGAAGGCAGCCCCUUGGACCUGUACUGACGCUCAUGCACGAAAGCGUGGGGAGCAAACAGG
rnacentral:rRNA from 1 species